rnacentral:rRNA from 1 species
UACGUAGGCAGCGAGCGUUGUUCGGAAUUACUGGGCGUAAAGAGCGCGUAGGCGGCGCGGUACGACCGCUGUGAAAGCCCCCAGCUCAACUGGGGAGGGUCAGCGGUAACGGCCGUGCUUUGAGUGCAGGAGAGGGAAGUGGAACUCCGGGAGUAGCGGUGAAAUGCGUAGAGACCCGGAGGAACACCAGUGGCGAAGGCGGCUUCCUGGUCUGCGACUGACGCUGUGGCGCGAAAGCUAGGGGAGCAAACGGG